GAAUCUUGCGCAAUGGAGGAAACUCUGACGCAGCCACGCCGCGUGCAGGAAGACGGUUCUCUGAAUUGUAAACUGCUUUUGACAGGGAAGAGUGUCUGGGUUUCGACCUAGAAGAGACGGUACCUGAUCGAAUAAGCACCGGCUAACUCCGUGCCAGCAGCCGCGGUAAUACGGAGGGUGCAAGCGUUGUCCGGAAUUAUUGGGUGUAAAGGGUGCGCAGGCGGGAAUGUAAGUCGGGGGUGAAAGGCUACCGCUCAACGGUAGGAUUGCCUUCGAUACUGCAUUUCUUGAGUAUGGAAGAGGUCGAUGGAAUUGGUGGUGUAGCGGUGAAAUGCAUAGAUAUCACCAAGAACACCGGUGGUGAAGACGCUCGGCUGGUCCAUUACUGACGCUCAGGCACGAGAGCGUGGGGAGCGAACAGG
rnacentral:rRNA from 1 species